rnacentral:rRNA from 1 species
GAUGAACGCUAGCGGGAGGCUUAACACAUGCAAGUCGUGGGGCAGCACGGGGUAGCAAUACUCUGGUGGCGACCGGCGCACGGGUGAGUAACGCGUAUGCAACCUGCCCUGUACAGGGGGAUAGCCCGGAGAAAUUCGGAUUAAUACCCCAUGAAUAUAUAGAAAGGCAUCUUUUUAUAUUUAAAGUUUCGACGGUACGGGAUGGGCAUGCGCAACAUUAGCUAGUUGGUAGGGUAACGGCCUACCAAGGCGACGAUGUUUAGGGGACCUGAGAGGGUGAUCCCCCACACUGGUACUGAGACACGGACCAGAUUCCUACGGGAGGCUG